rnacentral:rRNA from 1 species
CCUACGGGGGGCAGCAGUGGGGAAUAUUGGGCAAUGGGCGCAAGCCUGACCCAGCAACGCCGCGUGAAGGAAGAAGGCUUUCGGGUUGUAAACUUCUUUUAAGAGGGAAGAGCAGAAGACGGUACCUCUUGAAUAAGCCACGGCUAACUACGUGCCAGCAGCCGCGGUAAUACGUAGGUGGCAAGCGUUGUCCGGAUUUACUGGGUGUAAAGGGCGUGUAGCCGGGCUGACAAGUCAGAUGUGAAAUCCGGGGGCUCAACCCCCGAACUGCAUUUGAAACUGUUGGUCUUGAGUAUCGGAGAGGCAGGCGGAAUUCCUAGUGUAGCGGUGAAAUGCGUAAAUAUAUGUAAGAACACCAGUGGCGAAGGCGGCUUGCUGGGUCGAUACUGACAUUGAGGCACGAAAGCGUGGGGAGCAAACAGGAUUAGAUACCCCUGUAGUC